GCCUCGGUGGUGCAAUGAAAGCACGCUCCUCUUGUAUGGAAAUGAAACGGGUUCAACUCCCGCGUGAGGUC